rnacentral:rRNA from 1 species
GUGUGCUUAAUACAUGCAAGUCGAACGAGACUUUCGGGUCUAGUGGCGGACGGCUGAGUAACACGUAGAUAACGUACCCUUUACUGGGGGAUAACACCGGGAAACCGGUGCUAAUACCGCAUAAGUCUGAGACUGAGAUGUUUCAGAUUAAAGAAUUUCGGUAAAGGAUCGGUCUGCGCCUGAUUAGCUAGUUGGUAGGGUAAGAGCCUACCAAGGCGAUGAUCAGUAGUUGGUCUGAGAGGAUGACCAGCCAGAGUGGGACUGAGAACGGCCCACACUUCUACGGAAGGCAGCAGUAGGGAAUUUUGCGCAAUGGGCGAAAGCCUGACGCAGCAACACCGCGUGCGGGAUGAAGGCCUUCGGGUUGUAAACCGCUGUCAGCAGGGAAUAAAUUGACUGUACCUGCAAAGGAAGCACCGGCUAACUACGUGCCAGCAGCCGCGGUAAUACGUAGGGUGCAAGCGUUGUCCGGAUUUAUUGGGCGUAAAGA